rnacentral:rRNA from 1 species
GGCCUAUCGGGUUGUAAACCUCUUUUAGCAGGGAAGAAGCGAAAGUGACGGUACCUGCAGAAAAAGCGCCGGCUAACUACGUGCCAGCAGCCGCGGUAAUACGUAGGGCGCAAGCGUUAUCCGGAAUUAUUGGGCGUAAAGAGCUCGUAGGCGGUUUGUCGCGUCUGCUGUGAAAUCCCGAGGCUCAACCUCGGGCCUGCAGUGGGUACGGGCAGACUAGAGUGCGGUAGGGGAGAUUGGAAUUCCUGGUGUAGCGGUGGAAUGCGCAGAUAUCAGGAGGAACACCGAUGGCGAAGGCAGAACUCUGGGCCGUAACUGACGCUGAGGAGCGAAAGGGUGGGGAGCAAACAGGCAUAGAUACCCUGGUAGUCCACCCCGUAAACGUUGGGAACUAGUUGUGGGGACCAUUCCACGGUUUCCGUGACGCAGCUAACGCAUUAAGUUCCCCGCCUGGGGAGUACGGCCGCAAGGCUAAAACUCAAAGGAAUUGACGGGGACCCGCACAAGCGGCGGAGCAUGCGGAUUAAUUCGAUGCAACGCGAAGAACCUUACCAAGGCUUGACAUAUACGAGAACGGGCCAGAAAUGGUCAACUCUUUGGA